ACGUACACUCCUGCGGGAGGCAUCAGUGGGGAAUAUUGGACAAUGGGCGCAAGCCUGAUCCAGCCAUGCCGCGUGAGUGAUGAAGGCCCUAGGGUUGUAAAGCUCUUUCACCGGUGAAGAUAAUGACGGUAACCGGAGAAGAAGCCCCGGCUAACUUCGUGCCAGCAGCCGCGGUAAUACGAAGGGGGCUAGCGUUGUUCGGAUUUACUGGGCGUAAAGCGCACGUAGGCGGACUAUUAAGUCAGGGGUGAAAUCCCGGGGCUCAACCCCGGAACUGCCUUUGAUACUGGUAGUCUUGAGUUCGAGAGAGGUGAGUGGAAUUCCGAGUGUAGAGGUGAAAUUCGUAGAUAUUCGGAGGAACACCAGUGGCGAAGGCGGCUCACUGGCUCGAUACUGACGCUGAGGUGCGAAAGCGUGGGGAGCAAACAGGAUUAGAAACCCUUGUAGUCCC
rnacentral:rRNA from 1 species